GCGGCUGAGGGGAUGGGGGGGCGGCGGCCCCUGAGGGACCCCGGCGGCUCCUGAGUCCCCAGGUGUGAGCCCGCAGAGCUGCUGUGUCACUGAGGCACAGGGUGUGGACAAGCGUGGAUGAAAUUCUGCAAGACAAGCUGAGCCUGAGGAACAGCAGCUCACGUACGAGACUUUUCCUGCCAAGUCGUUUUCCAAGAGUUUGGAUCAGGCCAACAUCAAACCUACUGCUUCCCAUGCCACAAACUGCGCUGGUUUUUCACCUUUCUCAGCUGUAGUUUUAGUCUUUACCCACGUGUUCCCUACGCUGUUAUAUUUUUCCUCUACCCACACUUGAACACAACAAUGGGAACUCGUGUAGUACCAAAUUAUUAUGGCAAAAAUUCUUUUUCUCAUCUCCGAUUUGGGCAAAACGAUGAUUUCACAGCAUAGCUGCUCCCCUGAGGUACUGCA